GAAUUUUGGACAAUGGGGGAAACCCUGAUCCAGCCAUCCCGCGUGUAUGAUGAAGGCCUUCGGGUUGUAAAGUACUUUUGGCAGAGAAGAAAAGGUAUCCCCUAAUACGGGAUACUGCUGACGGUAUCUGCAGAAGAAGCACCGGCUAACUACGUGCCAGCAGCCGCGGUAAUACGUAGGGUGCAAGCGUUAAUCGGAAUUACUGGGCGUAAGGAGUGUGUAGCCGGUUCGGAAAGAAAGAUGUGAAACCCAAGGGCCCAACCUUGAACCUGCAUUUUUAAUUGCCGGGCUGGGUAAGGUCAGAGGGGGUAGAAUUCCACGUGUAGCAGUGAAAUGCGUAGAUAUGUGGAGGAAUACCGAUGGCGAAGGCAGCCCCCUGGGAUAAUACUGACGCUCAGACACGAAAGCGUGGGGAGCAAACAGG
rnacentral:rRNA from 1 species